CUACGGGAGGCAGCAGUGGGGAAUAUUGCACAAUGGGCGCAAGCCUGAUGCAGCCAUGCCGCGUGUAUGAAGAAGGCCUUCGGGUUGUAAAGUACUUUCAGCGGGGAGGAAGGGAGUAAAGUUAAUACCUUUGCUCAUUGACGUUACCCGCAGAAGAAGCACCAGCUAACUCCGUGCCAGCAGCCGCGGUAAUACGGACGGUGCAAGCGUUAAUCGGAAUUACUGGGCGUAAAGCGCACGCAGGCGGUUUGUUAAGUCAGAUGUGAAAUCCCCGGGCUCAACCUGGGAACUGCAUCUGAUACUGGCAAGCUUGAGUCUCGUAGAGGGGGGUAGAAUUCCGGGUGUAGCGGUGAAAUGCGUAGAGAUCUGGAGGAAUACCGGUGGCGAAGGCGGCCCCCUGGACGAAGACUGACGCUCAGGUGCGAAAGCGUGGGGAGCAAACAGGAUUAGAUACCCGAGUAGUC
rnacentral:rRNA from 1 species